rnacentral:rRNA from 1 species
AACGUAGGACGCAAGCGUUAUCCGGAGUUACUGGGCGUAAAGCGCGGGCAGGCGGUCUGGCAAGUCUGAUGUGAAAUCUCUCAGCUCAACUGGGAGCAGCCAUUGGAAACUACCGGACUGGAGUCGAGCAGAGGUAGGCGGAAUUCCGGGUGGAGUGGUGAAAUGCGUAGAGAUCCGGAGGAACACCAGAGGCGAAGGCGGCCUACUGGGCUCGUACUGACGCUGAGCCGCGAAAGCCAGGGGAGCGAACGGG